AGAAAACACACUAUGGGCCUUAUUAUACAAACUAAAACCCAGAUCGGAGGUGGUUUGGGACAACCUGGGUUGAUAUUUCUCCACAGAUUCUGUCUUCUCUUGGGUGACAUCAUUAAUGCAAGUAGCCUGAUUGGCUAAUUUAUCUUGGGCCCACAUUCUGAGUUGUUCACAGAAUUCAGUGCCUGAGGGGAAAUCGGUAUCACUAGUGAGAAGGGCACUGGAAAGACU